rnacentral:rRNA from 1 species
CGGUCUGGCGGCGAGUGGCGGACGGGUGAGUAAUGUAUCGGAACGUACCCAGUAGCGGGGGAUAACUACUCGAAAGAGUAGCUAAUACCGCAUACGCCCUACGGGGGAAAGGGGGGGAUCUUAUGACCUCUCACUAUUGGAGCGGCCGAUAUCGGAUUAGCUAGUUGGUGGGGUAAAGGCCUACCAAGGCGUCGAUCCGUAGCUGGUUUGAGAGGACGACCAGCCACACUGGGACUGAGACACGGCCCAGACUCCUACGGGAGGCAGCAGUGGGGAAUUUUGGACAAUGGGGGCAACCCUGAUCCAGCCAUCCCGCGUGUGCGAUGAAGGCCUUCGGGUUGUAAAGCACUUUUGGCAGGAAAGAAAUUGCAUGGGUUAAUACCCUGUGUAGAUGACGGUACCUGCAGAAUAAGCACCGGCUAACUACGUGCCAGCAGCCGCGGUAAUACGUAGGGUGCAAGCGUUAAUCGGAAUUACUGGGCGUAAAGCGUGCGCAGGCGGUUCGGAAAGAAAGAUGUGAAAUCCCAGGGCUUAACCUUGGAACUGCAUUUUUAACUGUCGAACUAGAGUGCGUCAGAGGGGGGUGGAAUUCCGCGUGUAGCAGUGAAAUGCGUAGAUAUGCGGAGGAACACCGAUGGCGAAGGCAGCCCCCUGGGAUGACACUGACGCUCAUGCACGAAAGCGUGGGGAGCAAACAGGA